rnacentral:lncRNA from 1 species
GGAUUGCUUGCUUAAUUCAAAGGCAGCUGGGAGACAAGAAGCUGGAAAAACUUGUACGUGAGUCACAGCAGUAGUGGGGCAGUGAUGGUACUGAGGUGGAGAACUGGGUGGUGUCAGUGAGGGAACAGCUGGACUAAAUUCUCAUGUGUAUCUAAAAAUGAAGAAGACAUCUGGGAUGGCCACGGAAGAGGCAUGAGCUCCAGAGUUUGACUGACAGGAGUUUUUCUCUAGCAAAUACUUUGACUGCUUUUAAGGAAGAUUCCAGUUCACUGGUUAUCAUACUUGCCCUUCUGAAAUAGAAACUAUUCCCUACAUUGAAGCAUUUAAUAGUCGAAGCAUAGGUUGUCACAGUGUUUAAAUUACAAAUCUGUACUCGAGCAGAAUAUUCUAGAAAAAGAAAGCUAUGCCUAGCAAAUGCUUUUGUCUUUACUUUUUUAAGCAUCUGGUUUUUAAACAAAAGUAAUACAUGCACAUAAUUUCUAAAGUCAACUACUCCCUAUUUUAUGACUAAAAAAUUAUUGCUUUAUCUCUUCUCCUCUCCCUAUUUCUCAAUGUUGGUAUGCAUUACUACUUCUUUAUCUCUUUCUUUUGGUUUUACCUCAAGAGUUUUAAGUACAUAAUUGCAAAGCUAUUUAUUUUACUCACAGUCUUAUAUGCUAUCUAUUAAAUUAUUUCCUUUAAAAAUGGUACAUUAACUCUCUUACAAGUCUUCCCCAAAGAGUUAUGUCAUCUUUUUGAAUUAAAUAGAUUCUCAGAUAUUACGUAAUUAUAACUAUUUAAAUUUUUUGUUCUUGUAGAUUUAGUCAUUAUCCUUUUUUUUUUUGUCCUUUAUCUUUUUAGGUCUGCACUCAUGGCAUUUGGAGGUUUCCAGGCUAGGGGUCUACUCGGAGCUGUAGCUGCUGGCCUAUGCCACAGCCAUAGCAAUACUAAAAGUUUUUUUCUAUAUAUUCAUACUCAUCAAAUAUUCUUUCAAUUUUUUUUCCUUAGAGACAUCUUCUUCAGGAAUCCAUCCUUCUGCUCCAUUUUCUCUCCUGGCUUAUGCACAAGGGUCAUCUUAACAAUUCACCUUAAAGUUCCAUUUGCCUUUCUCUUCUAUUGGAUCCCCUAUUUUCUAGAUCCCUUUAUCAUCUUUCUGGAUUUAUUCUAUUAACUUCUUAAGAAAACUUUUUCACCUGAAUGCUACAUUAAAAAACCGAUUUCUUUAAUUUAAAAAUUUUCUGGAGGAGUUCCCAUUGUGGCUCAGUGAUUAACAAAUCCGACUAGGAACCAUGAUGUUGUGGGUUCAAUCCCUGGCCUCACUCAGUGGGUUAAGGAUCCAGCAUUGCCAUGAGCUAUGGUGUAGGCCAGUGGCUACAGCUCCAAUUUGACCCCUGGCCUGGGAACCUC